GGUGUAUAAUGAAAUAUAUAACUAGAGUUGAGGCCACUGGCCGAUGAACUCACAAGUGUAGGUAGUGUGCUACAUGAGGGGCAAGUUUUUUACUAAUGCCACAGGGUCUUGGCCCAAUGAGUGGAGGUUUUGAUAAUCCUUGCUACAAGU